GAUGAACGCUAGCUACAGGCUUAACACAUGCAAGUCGAGGGGCAGCACGGAGAUAGCUUGCUAUCUUGGGUGGCGACCGGCGCACGGGUGAGUAACGCGUAUCCAACCUGCCCAUUACUCUGGGAUAGCCUUGCGAAAGUAAGAUUAAUACCGGAUGUUGUUAAAAACCCGCAUGAGUUUUUAACCAAAGAUUUAUUGGUAAUGGAUGGGGAUGCGUGACAUUAGGUAGUUGGUGAGGUAACGGCUCACCAAGCCUACGAUGUCUAGGGGUUCUGAGAGGAAGGUCCCCCCACACUGGAACUGAGACACGGUCCAGACUCCUACGGGAGGCAGCAGUGAGGAAUAUUGGGUCAAUGGGUCUGACGACUGAACCAGCCAUGCCGCGUGAAGGAUACGGCCCUAUGGGUCUUAAACUCUUUUGUAAGGGAGCAAUAAGGGUCACGUGUGGUCUGAUGAGAGUACCUUACGAAUAAGCAUCGGCUAACUCCGUGCCAGCCAGCCGCGG
rnacentral:rRNA from 1 species